GGGAGGGAGUAGAGGAAGGAAAAAAAUGAUCCCUGUACUGACACAGGGAAAGAGAAUGUAGGAGAGUGACGUCCAGGCCCCGCCUCCCCCUCCGGCCACGUGCAAGACUUGAAAGGAAAGAGGGAGACGGCAAGCCUGCUGGGUAAUGUAGUUCGCCUUUCUUUCCUGGGAUGGCGGGCCCUAGAGAGCUGGGAACCAAGGGGACGCCGGGGAUGCCGCCUGAACUGCCUGGACGGACCAGUGUUGCCCUUCAGCAUCCUCCCUUCAACGACCUCUUGCGCUAGCGGGGCCCUCUGCUGUCGGGGACAGAACUGAGGGUGAAGGCAUCGUCUCUCUUGCAGGGAAACACUUGGUUUUAGAAUCAGGCAGGCUGUAAGGAUGAGGACUUCCGCGCUUCAAGUGUAAAGUCUGCCCUAAUGAAUGAUAAGAGAAAGCGUAGUGUAUGCACUGGGAGAGAUGUUGUGGGGGAGACAAGUGGCAUUAUUAAUGCGGCAUUAAGUGCCACCAUAGGUUAUUGAGAUUCACAUGUAAUAAUUAACGUUUGUGCAUCGCUGUGGCAGGGACGGAAUGUUGUAAUUAGAUAUGCACUUUGCGACCAAUUAAUUUUCCAUUGGCCAUGCUAAAAGCUGAGGCAUUGUAGCUGGAAGAAUUCGAUGGCAGUGGAUAAUGCGGUCAUCACUAGACCAGAUCUCCACGGUCUUGGUUAAAACUGAGAUUAGCGCGGAGGCCUCCAGGAGGAAUAUAAGAUGCUGAAUGUCUCACCGAGUGGUGGCGUCCGUCGGGUGCAUAUUGGAGGUAUUGGAACGGACCUGCUGCAGAAAUCCUUUGAGUGAUUAAUUUGUAAAACAUCCAGUGAACAUAUCCAGGCAUGCAGGGACCAGGAAGCCCCUCAGUCUGUGUCCUCUAGGAGCUCAGUCUUGUGGGAGGGCCACAGUCUGUGAAAGAAUAGGGGAAUAAGUGAGCUCUUAACACAGGGACUAGCCCAAAGCACCAUGGGACCUCCGGAGGAGCGGCCAACCAGGAUGCGGUAGGAAGGCAUCCUGAAGGAAGGUACUUGAAUGAAGAGUUAACUAAGGUUUUUAACAAGGGGCAGGGCGUCUGUUACAGCUAUGGAAGGUUCUAGAUUCAAGAGAAGAGCUAAUUCUGCAGCUCCUAGCUAUUCGGCUGGACAGGGGACAGGUUGCUGGGUGGGCAAGGGUAGGGCAGAAAGCAAAGAAUGGCUAGAGGGUUAGUCUAGAGGGCAGAAGGAGCCCGGAGCUGCUUGCUGGAAGAGGCGGGGCUUGGAGUGGUGGAUGGGAUUUUGUUUUGUAGUAAGCUUUGAAUACUGAAUGAACCAGACCAUGGGCAGAAAGCAAAACAGAAUACAUGUUCACAACCUGUGAAGAGUUCCUUUGACUUUUAAACCAGAACCAAGGUGCUCAGUGGGUCUCUGUCUCUUUCUCUGUGUGAGGGAGAGAGA